rnacentral:rRNA from 1 species
UCAUGCAAGUCGAGGGGAAACGACAUCUAAUGCUUGCUUUUGAUGGGCGUCGACCGGCGCACGGGUGAGUAACGCGUAUCCAACCUGCCCACCACUUGGGGAUAACCUUGCGAAAGUAAGACUAAUACCCAAUGACAUCCCACGAAGGCAUCCGAAUGGGAUUAAAGAUUUAUCGGUGAUGGAUGGGGAUGCGUCUGAUUAGCUUGUUGGCGGGGUAACAGCCCACCAAGGCAACGAUCAGUAGGGGUUCUGAGAGGAAGGUCCCCCACAUUGGAACUGAGACACGGUUCAAACUCCUACGGGAGGCAGCAGUGAGGAAUAUUGGUCAAUGGGCGAGAGCCUGAACCAGCCAAGUAGCGUGCAGGAUGACGGCCCUAUGGGUUGCAAACUGCUUUUAUAAGGGAAUAAAGUGAGUCUCGUGAGACUUUUUGCAUGUACCUUAUGAAUAAGGACCGGCUAAUUCCGUGCCAGCAGCCGCGGUAAUACGGAAGGUCCGGGCGUUAUCCGGAUUUAUUGGGUUUAAAGGGAGCGUAGGCCGGAGAUUAAGCGUGUUGUGAAAUGUAGAGGCUCAACCUCUGCACUGCAGCGCGAACUGGUCUUCUUGAGUACGCACAACGUGGGCGGAAUUCGUGGUGUAGCGGUGAAAUGCUUAGAUAUCACGAAGAACUCCGAUUGCGAAGGCAGCUCACGGGAGCGCAACUGACGCUGAAGCUCGAAAGUGCGGGUAUCGAACAGGAUUAGAUACCCUGGUAGUCCGCACGGUAAACGAUGGAUGCCCGCUGUUGGCCUGAAUAGGUCAGCGGCCAAGCGAAAGCAUUAAGCAUCCCACUUGGGGAGUA